GAUGAACGCUGGCGGCGUGCUUAACACUUGCAAGUCGAACGGAAAGGCCCUGCUUUUGUGGGCUGCUCGAGUGGCGAACGGGUGAGUAACACGUGAGUAACCUGCCCUUGACUUUGGGAUAAGUUCAGGAAACUGGGGCUAAUACCGGAUAGGAGCUGCUGCUGCAUGGUGGGCGUUGGAAAGUCUCGGCGGUUGGGGAUGGACUCGCGGCUUAUCAGCUUGUUGGUGGGGUAGUGGCUUACCAAGGCUUCGACGGGUAGCCGGCCUGAGAGGGUGACCGGCCACAUUGGGACUGAGACACGGCCCAGACUCCUACGGGAGGCAGCAGUGGGGAAUAUUGCACAAUGGGCGGAAGCCUGAUGCAGCAACGCCGCGUGAGGGAUGACGGCCUUCGGGUUGUAAACCGCUUUCGGCUGGGACGAAGCGAUAGUGACGGUAAUGGGUGAAGAAGCACCGGCUAACUACGUG
rnacentral:rRNA from 1 species